AGGCGUGCGAUACAGGGUGACAGCCCCGUACACAAAAAUGCACAUACUGUGAGCUCGAUGAGUAGGGCGGGACACGUGGUAUCCUGUCUGAAUAUGGGGGGACCAUCCUCCAAGGCUAAAUACUCCUGACUGACCGAUAGUGAACCAGUACCGUGAGGGAAAGGCGAAAAGAACCCCGGCGAGGGGAGUGAAAAAGAACCUGAAACCGUGUACGUACAAGCAGUGGGAGCCUCUUAAUGGGGUGACUGCGUACCUUUUGUAUAAUGGGUCAGCGACUUAUAUUCUGUAGCAAGGUUAACCGAAUAGGGGAGCCGAAGGGAAACCGAGUCUUAACUGGGCGUUAAGUUGCAGGGUAUAGACCCGAAACCCGGUGAUCUAGCCAUGGGCAGGUUGAAGGUUGGGUAACACUAACUGGAGGACCGAACCGACUAAUGUUGAAAAAUUAGCGGAUGACUUGUGGCUGGGGGUGAAAGGCCAAUCAAACCGGGAGAUAGCUGGUUCUCCCCGAAAGCUAUUUAGGUAGCGCCUCGUGAAUUCAUCUCCGGGGGUAGAGCACUGUUUCGGCAAGGGGGUCAUCCCGACUUACCAACCCGAUGCAAACUGCGAAUACCGGAGAAUGUUAUCACGGGAGACACACGGCGGGUGCUAACGUCCGUCGUGAAGAGGGAAACAACCCAGACCGCCAGCUAAGGUCCCAAAGUCAUGGUUAAGUGGGAAACGAUGUGGGAAGGCCCAGACAGCCAGGAUGUUGGCUUAGAAGCAGCCAUCAUUUAAAGAAAGCGUAAUAGCUCACUGGUCGAGUCGGCCUGCGCGGAAGAUGUAACGGGGCUAAACCAUGCACCGAAGCUGCGGCAGCGACACUAUGUGUUGUUGGGUAGGGGAGCGUUCUGUAAGCCUGUGAAGGUGUACUGUGAGGUAUGCUGGAGGUAUCAGAAGUGCGAAUGCUGACAUAAGUAACGAUAAAGCGGGUGAAAAGCCCGCUCGCCGGAAGACCAAGGGUUCCUGUCCAACGUUAAUCGGGGCAGGGUGAGUCGACCCCUAAGGCGAGGCCGAAAGGCGUAGUCGAUGGGAAACAGGUUAAUAUUCCUGUACUUGGUGUUACUGCGAAGGGGGGACGGAGAAGGCUAUGUUGGCCGGGCGACGGUUGUCCCGGUUUAAGCGUGUAGGCUGGUUUUCCAGGCAAAUCCGGAAAAUCAAGGCUGAGGCGUGAUGACGAGGCACUACGGUGCUGAAGCAACAAAUGCCCUGCUUCCAGGAAAAGCCUCUAAGCAUCAGGUAACAUCAAAUCGUACCCCAAACCGACACAGGUGGUCAGGUAGAGAAUACCAAGGCGCUUGAGAGAACUCGGGUGAAGGAACUAGGCAAAAUGGUGCCGUAACUUCGGGAGAAGGCACGCUGAUAUGUAGGUGAAGUCCCUCGCGGAUGGAGCUGAAAUCAGUCGAAGAUACCAGCUGGCUGCAACUGUUUAUUAAAAACACAGCACUGUGCAAACACGAAAGUGGACGUAUACGGUGUGACGCCUGCCCGGUGCCGGAAGGUUAAUUGAUGGGGUUAGCGGUAACGCGAAGCUCUUGAUCGAAGCCCCGGUAAACGGCGGCCGUAACUAUAACGGUCCUAAGGUAGCGAAAUUCCUUGUCGGGUAAGUUCCGACCUGCACGAAUGGCGUAAUGAUGGCCAGGCUGUCUCCACCCGAGACUCAGUGAAAUUGAACUCGCUGUGAAGAUGCAGUGUACCCGCGGCAAGACGGAAAGACCCCGUGAACCUUUACUAUAGCUUGACACUGAACAUUGAGCCUUGAUGUGUAGGAUAGGUGGGAGGCUUUGAAGUGUGGACGCCAGUCUGCAUGGAGCCGGCCUUGAAAUACCACCCUUUAAUGUUUGAUGUUCUAACGUUGGCCCCUGACCGGGGUUGCGGACAGUGUCUGGUGGGUAGUUUGACUGGGGCGGUCUCCUCCUAAAGAGUAACGGAGGAGCACGAAGGUUGGCUAAUCCUGGUCGGACAUCAGGAGGUUAGUGCAAUGGCAUAAGCCAGCUUGACUGCGAGCGUGACGGCGCGAGCAGGUGCGAAAGCAGGUCAUAGUGAUCCGGUGGUUCUGAAUGGAAGGGCCAUCGCUCAACGGAUAAAAGGUACUCCGGGGAUAACAGGCUGAUACCGCCCAAGAGUUCAUAUCGACGGCGGUGUUUGGCACCUCGAUGUCGGCUCAUCACAUCCUGGGGCUGAAGUAGGUCCCAAGGGUAUGGCUGUUCGCCAUUUAAAGUGGUACGCGAGCUGGGUUUAGAACGUCGUGAGACAGUUCGGUCCCUAUCUGCCGUGGGCGCUGGAGAACUGAGGGGGGCUGCUCCUAGUACGAGAGGACCGGAGUGGACGCAUCACUGGUGUUCGGGUUGUCAUGCCAAUGGCACUGCCCGGUAGCUAAAUGCGGAAGAGAUAAGUGCUGAAAGCAUCUAAGCACGAAACUUGCCCCGAGAUGAGUUCUCCCUGACUCCUUGAGAGUCCUGAAGGAACGUUGAAGACGACGACGUUGAUAGGCCGGGUGUGUAAGCGCAGCGAUGCGUUGAGCUAACCGGUACUAAUGAACCGUGAGG
rnacentral:rRNA from 1 species